GACGAACGCUGGCGGCGUGCUUAACACAUGCAAGUCGAACGGAAAGGCCCUGCUUUUGUGGGGUGCUCGAGUGGCGAACGGGUGAGUAACACGUGAGUAACCUGCCCUUGACUUUGGGAUAACUUCAGGAAACUGGGGCUAAUACCGGAUAGGAGCUCCUGCUGCAUGGUGGGGGUUGGAAAGUUUCGGCGGUUGGGGAUGGACUCGCGGCUUAUCAGCUUGUUGGUGGGGUAGUGGCUUACCAAGGCUUUGACGGGUAGCCGGCCUGAGAGGGUGACCGGCCUCAUUGGGACUGAGAUACGGCCCAGACUGCUACGGGAGGCAGCAGUGGGGAAUAUUGCACAGUGGGCGGAAGCCUGAUGCAGCGACGCCGCGUGCGGGAUGACGGCCUUCGGGUUGUAAACCGCUUUCGCCUGUGACGAAGCGUGAGUGACGGUAAUGGGUAAAGAAGCACCGGCUAACUACGUG
rnacentral:rRNA from 1 species